GCAGUCGAGCGGGGUAGCAAUAUCCAGCGGCGGACGGGUGAGGAAUACAUAGGAAUUUGCCUUUAGGUGGGGGAUAGCUUGGGGAAACUCAAGGUAAUACCGCAUGAUGUCGCAAGACCAAAGUGGGGGAUCGCAAGACCUCGCGCCUUUAGAGAAGCCUAUGUCUGAUUAGCUAGUUGGUGGUGUAAUGGACCACCAAGGCUACGAUCAGUAACUGGUCUGAGAGGACGAUCAGUCACACCGGAACUGAGACACGGUCCAGACUCCUACGGGAGGCAGCAGUGGGGAAUAUUGGACAAUGGGCGCAAGCCUGAUCCAGCAAUGCCGCGUGUGUGAAGAAGGCCUUCGGGUUGUAAAGCACUUUUAUCGGGAACGAAAUACCACGGGUUAAUAACCUAUGGGGCUGACGGUACCCGAGGAAUAAGCACCGGCUAACUUCGUGCCAGCAGCCGCGGCAAUACGAAGGGUGCAAGCGUUAAUCGGAAUUACUGGGCGUAAAGGGUGCGUAGGCGGUUAGUUAAGUCUGUCGUGAAAUCCCCGGGCUCAACCUGGGAAUGGCGAUGGAUACUGGCUGGCUAGAGUGUGUCAGAGGAUGGUGGAAUUUCCGGUGUAGCGGUGAAAUGCGUAGAGAUCGGAAGGAACAUCAGUGGCGAAGGCGGCCAUCUGGGACAACACUGACGCUGAAGCACGAAAGCGUGGG
rnacentral:rRNA from 1 species